rnacentral:rRNA from 1 species
CGAAAGCCUGACGGAGCAAUACCGCGUGCGGGAGGAAGGCCCUUGGGUCGUAAACCUCUUUUCUCAGGGAAGAAGAUCUGACGGUACCUGAGGAAUCAGCCUCGGCUAACUCCGUGCCAGCAGCCGCGGUAAUACGGAGGAGGCAAGCGUUAUCCGGAAUGAUUGGGCGUAAAGCGUCCGCAGGUGGCAAUGUAAGUCUGCUGUCAAAACCCAGGGCUCAACUCUGGUCAGGCAGUGGAAACUACAUAGCUAGAGUUCGGUAGGGGCAAAGGGAAUUCCCGGUGUAGCGGUGAAAUGCGUAGAGAUCGGGAAGAACAUCGGUGGCGAAAGCGCUUUGCUAGACCGAAACUGACACUCAGGGACGAAAGCUAGGGGAGCG